rnacentral:rRNA from 1 species
GACGAACGCUGGCGGCGUGCUUAACACAUGCAAGUCGAACGGAAAGGCCCUGCUUUCGUGGGGUGCUCGAGUGGCGAACGGAUGAGUACCACGUGAGUAACCUGCUCUUGACUUUGGGAUAACUUCAGGAAACUGGGGCUAAUACCUGAUAGGAGCUCCUGCUGCAUGGUGGGGGUUGGAAAGUUUCGGUGGUUGGGGAUGGACUCGCGGCUUAUCAGCUUGUUGGUGGGGUAGUGGCUUACCAAGGCCUUGACGGGUAGCCGGCGUGAGAGGGUGACCGGGCAAAUUGGGACUGAGAUACGGGCCAGAGUACUACGGGAGGCAGCAGUAGGGAAGAUUGCACGAUGGGGGGAAGCCGGAUGCAGCAACGCCGCGUGCGGGAUGAUGGCCUUCUGGUUGUAAACCGCAUUCGCCUGUGACGAUGCGUGAGUGACGGUAAUGGGUAAAGAAGCACCGGCUAACUACGUG